AUCAUCAUUCAAACAUAUUACCUGAUCGAUACAGAACCGGAACGAAAAAGGAAUUACAUGAAAGUGUGUGUGUGUGUGUCUGUUUGUGUGUAUGUAUAUUGAGAUAUGUUUGUGUGUUGAUUUAGAUCUGAUCUGAUCCGCAGCGGUAGUCGUGAAGGUAGCUAUGGAGGUGAUGGUGGUUAUGGAAUAGCAAAAACUAUGUGGAAUUUUCUACAGAAACCCUAAACAGAUCAUCCAAUGAUCAUAAGCUUAUUCCUAAAAGCGCUUCCUCAAGGCAGAUCUCGAAGAAAACAGGAUUCUUGUUUUUCCAUCAUUAAUUAUGCAAAGAGGAGUAAUAAUUGUAACAGUGAUAGUUUACUUGGGCAUAGGGAUAGGCCCACAAUCCAUCCUCUUAGAUCUACU
rnacentral:lncRNA from 1 species